CUGCCAUCUGUUCACCCACAAAAGAAAGUCAGAUUAGGGCUGAAUAGAAUAAAAUGUAUCUCCAAAUGGGAUACAGAGGUAACAAAAAUUGGAAUCACUUCAGAAACAAGAGCUUUCAUAAUUCGACAAAUUUCAGUUUCUCUACUUGAUACGUUGAUUGUCUGAUUUUUUUGUUACUACUUUAACGUGCUACAUAUUCACUCAGCCUGAUUGCUCCACUUUGAAGGAUCAACAACAUUGGAACCAGCAGCACAACUUAAGAUAUCUUUAACCUGGUGAAACUUUAGCAAAAUCAGUGCUACUUCACUGGGAGACAGUUGAAUCAGAGCCAUAGAUCGUGAACACAGGGAUGAUGGGUGAACAGGACUUGAGCGGCCACAGUUCAAAUGAUUGCAGCAGAGCGCGGCGGGAGCCGGGCAUAAGUGAAGUCGGAGCAGAGAGGCAGUUGGGAUGUUGUGCAGUCAAAUAGCAAUCUGAAGUACCAGCCGGGCUAUACAAAACUAAUUCCAGUGCAAGCACGGCCACAGGAAGAACUUUACAGUGCAAAGCACCCAUGCCAAAAACAUGAGAGGAAUGUUGUUUAUGGACUGCCAAAUUGCAGCACUAGGAUAAAGUGCAGAAGCUAUUUUAAAAAAGUUUAAAGUCUAUUUUAUUUUUAUUUCAGCUUUUACCUUUAUGA